AUAAAACACAGAAUGGAUGCCUAGGCAUAUAAGAAAAUAAGGGCGUUAUACGGAACGAAACGCUGUAGUGAGGGCCGUUACACCUGUAACCUACAGAUUCCCUAUGGGAAAACCCAUAUUUGUUAGAAAUGCAUGGAAUUGAAACAUCUUAGUACAUGUAGUAAAGACAUCAACCGAGAGUCCGUCAGUUGUGGCGAGCGAAAGCGGAUUAGGCCAUUGUAUAUAAGUUUGUUAUAAAGUACAAAAACGUUUGGAAAAGCGUGCUAGAGAUGGUGAUAGCCCAGUAUGUACUACCUAUAGCAUAUCAAUAUACAAUAUUGAGUAAAGCGGGGGGCGUACCUUGCUUGAAGAUAGGGGGACCACCCUCUAAGCCUAAUAAUCUUAUAUGACCGAUAGUGAACAAGUACCGUGAGGGAAAGGUGAAAAGAACCCAUUAUAUGGGAGUGAAAUAGACCCUGAAAUUCUGUGUAUACAAGCAGUCGGUGUAAUAAUUCAUAUUAUGACACGGCGUACUUCUUGCAUAACGGGCCAGCGAGUAUACAUAUUCAGCUUAUCUUAAGCAGGUAUGUGGAGGAAUAGGGAAACCGAAGCUUAAUAGGCUAUAAUGGUUGAAUGUGUAUGACCCGAAACCGAGUGAUCUAGUUAUGAGCAGGUUGAAGAAAAGGUUAAACUUUUUGGAGGACCGAACUUGUAGAUGUUGCAAAAUCUUAAGAUGACUUGUGACUAGGGGUGAAAGGCCAAACAAACUCGGAGUUAGCUGGUUUUCCACGAAAUCUAUUGAGGUAGAGCGUACAAAUGGUUUACAUAUGGGGUAGAGCACUGUUUAGGUAUGGGGGGUCAAACAACUUUACCAUACUUAGGCAAACUCCGAAUACGUAUGUAAGUAUUGUGCAGACAGACAUAUGGCGCUAAGGUCAUGUGUCGAAAGGGAAACAGCCCAGACCGUCUGAUAAGGUCCCCAAGCAAUUGCUUAGUGGUUAAGGAUGUGGUUUUGCAUGGACAACCAGUAGGUGGGCUUAGAAGCAGCUAUCCUUAUAAAGAAAGCGUAAUAGCUCACUGGUCGAGCAUACACGCGCCGACGAUGUAACGGGGCUUAAGCAAUUCACCGAAUCAACGGAUAGAUAAAUAAAUCUAUGGUAGUGGAACGCUCUGUAUGUAGAAGAAGCAUCUAUGUAAAUAGAUGUGGAUAUAUCAGAGGUGAGAAUGCUGGCAUAAGUAACGAUUAAUUCUGUGAAAGUCAGAAUCGCCGAAAAUCCAAGGGUUUCUGCGGACCGUCUAUCGGCGCAGAGUUAUACGGCCCCUAAGCUAAAACUAGCGAUGGGUUGUUGAUUAUCAAUUUUAAAAAUUUCAACGAAUAUAUUAUUAACGGUAAUAUGUAUAAAUAUAGGUAAGAUUGAAUGUUUACUAAUAUAGUUAAGAAUUGAUACUAAUUAUAGUUUUUAUAGAUUUAUCCUGGAAAAAUUUAAUAUAUAUUUACCGUACCCUAAACCGACACUGGUGGAUAGGUAGAGUAUACCAAGGCGAGUGAGAGAACCAUGCUGAAGGAACUCGGCAAAAUACUCCUGUAACUUCGGAAGAUGGGAGACCAGUCUAUCAAAUUGAUAGACUUGGUGGCACACAACAGAGGGUGGCGACUGUUUAGUAAAAACACAGGGCUCUGCUAAGUCUUUGACGAUGUAUAGGGCCUGACACCUGCCCGGUGCUGGAAGCUUAAGGGGCGCGGUGCAAGCUGCAAACCUAAUGCCCAGUAAACGGCGGCCGUAACUCUAACGGUCCUAAGGUAGCGAAAUUCCUUGCCCACUAAUUAUGGGCCUGCAUGAAUGGUGUAACGACUGCCCUACUGUCUCCAGCAUGGACUCAGUGAAAUUGAAUUCUCCGUGAAGAUGCGGAGUACUAAUGGUUAGACGGUAAGACCCUAUGCACCUUUACCGCAGCUUUGUAUUGAAUAUAUAUGUAUAGUGUGUAGAAUAGGUGGGAGACUUUUGUCGCUCGUGAAAUACCACCCGCUAUAUAUGUAGAUUCUAACCUGUAUUAGGGACAGUGCAUGGUGGGUGGUUUGACUGGGAUGGUCGCCUGCUAAAAAGUAACGGAGGCGCACAAAGGUAGGCUCAUGUAGGACGGACAUCUACAGUAGAGCGUAAUGGUAUAAGCCUGCCUGACUGUGAGAUUGACAGAUCGAACAGGGACGCAAGUCGGUCAUAGUGAUCCGGGAGUUCUAUGUGGAUAGGCUCUCGCUCAACGGAUCAAAGGUACGCUAGGGAUAACAGGCUAAUGAUCCCCAAGAGCUCAUAUCGACGGGAUCGUUUGGCACCUCGAUGUCGUCUCAUCACAUCCUGGGGGUGAAGCAGCUCCCAAGGGUUCGGCUGUUCGCCGAUUAAAGUGGUACGUGAGAUGGGUUUAGAACGUCGUGAGACAGUUCGGUUCCUAUCUGCCAUUAGCGUUUAUAAUUGAGAGAAUGUAUUCCUAGUACGAGAGGACCGGAGUAUAUCAACCUAUGGUGUAUCGGUUGUUGCAUCAGCAGCAGUGUCGAGUAGCUACGUUGAAUUGGAUAACCACUGAAAGCAUCUAAGUGGGAAGCCUAUCUCGAGACAAGUUAUAGUGCGUGUAUAAGACUAAUACAUUAAUAGGCAAAGUGUGGAAGCAAGGUAACUUGUGUAGCUAAUUUGUACUAA
rnacentral:rRNA from 1 species